rnacentral:rRNA from 1 species
UACGGAGGGAGCUAGCGUUGUUCGGAAUUACUGGGCGUAAAGCGCACGUAGGCGGCUUUGUAAGUUAGAGGUGAAAGCCCGGGGCUCAACUCCGGAACUGCCUUUAAGACUGCAUCGCUUGAAUCCGGGAGAGGUGAGUGGAAUUCCGAGUGUAGAGGUGAAAUUCGUAGAUGUUCGGAAGAACACCAGUGGCGAAGGCGGCUCACUGGACCGGUAUUGACGCUGAGGUGCGAAAGCGUGGGGAGCAAACAGG